AUUGAACGCUGGCGGAAUGCUUUACACAUGCAAGUCGAACGGCAGCACGGGGGCAACCCUGGUGGCGAGUGGCGAACGGGUGAGUAAUACAUCGGAACGUGCCCAGUCGUGGGGGAUAACGUAGCGAAAGUUACGCUAAUACCGCAUACGAUCUACGGAUGAAAGCGGGGGACCGUAAGGCCUCGCGCGAUUGGAGCGGCCGAUGUCAGAUUAGGUAGUUGGUGAGGUAAAGGCUCACCAAGCCGCCGAUCUGUAGCUGGUCUGAGAGGACGACCAGCCACACUGGGACUGAGACACGGCCCAGUCUCCUACGGGAGGCAGCAGUGGGGAAUUUUGGACAAUGGGCGCAAGCCUGAUCCAGCCAUUCCGCGUGCGGGACGAAGGCCUUCGGGUUGUAAGCUGCUUUUGUACGGAACGAAAAGGCUCUGGUUAAUACCUGGGGCUCAUGACGGUACCGUAAGAAUAAGCACCGGCUAACUACGUGCCAGCCGCCGCAGUAA
rnacentral:rRNA from 1 species